ACCGCUGACAUUUAUAUGAAAAUGUUAUUCAGUGAAUCAGGAUAAUCAACCAAUCUGUCCACACGGCACCUUUGAAAACAAUGAUUUCUACACUCUACAAGGGAACGAAGGAGCCUAUUUUUCUGAGUUUGUUUUGAAACAUGGCAAGGGCUUGAAGACAGCUGCUACUGGAAGCAUUGAUGGCUUUGUCCUCUUCAGUGAGCAGCUGAGAACAUUAAGACAUAGCAGCUCUUCCCAGGAGCUACAUCCAAGCUGAAGGAGAUUGGAACAAGACUCAACUCAGGAACACAAGAGACAGCACCUGUUAAAAAUAGACACACAUUUGCGGGAG
rnacentral:lncRNA from 1 species